rnacentral:rRNA from 1 species
GGGUUGUGAGGUUAAGCGACUAAGCGUACACGGUGGAUGCCCAGGCAGUCAGAGGCGAUGAAGGACGUGCUAAUCUGCGAUAAGCGUCGGUAAGGUGAUAUGAACCGUUAUAACCGGCGAUUUCCGAAUGGGGAAACCCAGUGUGUUUCGACACACUAUCAUUAACUGAAUCCAUAGGUUAAUGAGGCGAACCGGGGGAACUGAAACAUCUAAGUACCCCGAGGAAAAGAAAUCAACCGAGAUUCCCCCAGUAGCGGCGAGCGAACGGGGAGCAGCCCAGAGCCUGAAUCAGUGUGUGUGUUAGUGGAAGCGUCUGGAAAGGCGCGCGAUACAGGGUGACAGCCCCGUACACAAAAAUGCACAUGCUGUGAGCUCGAUGAGUAGGGCGGGACACGUGGUAUCCUGUCUGAAUAUGGGGGGACCAUCCUCCAAGGCUAAAUACUCCUGACUGACCGAUAGUGAACCAGUACCGUGAGGGAAAGGCGAAAAGAACCCCGGCGAGGGGAGUGAAAAAGAACCUGAAACCGUGUACGUACAAGCAGUGGGAGCACGCUUAGGCGUGUGACUGCGUACCUUUUGUAUAAUGGGUCAGCGACUUAUAUUCUGUAGCAAGGUUAACCGAAUAGGGGAGCCGAAGGGAAACCGAGUCUUAACUGGGCGUUAAGUUGCAGGGUAUAGACCCGAAACCCGGUGAUCUAGCCAUGGGCAGGUUGAAGGUUGGGUAACACUAACUGGAGGACCGAACCGACUAAUGUUGAAAAAUUAGCGGAUGACUUGUGGCUGGGGGUGAAAGGCCAAUCAAACCGGGAGAUAGCUGGUUCUCCCCGAAAGCUAUUUAGGUAGCGCCUCGUGAAUUCAUCUCCGGGGGUAGAGCACUGUUUCGGCAAGGGGGUCAUCCCGACUUACCAACCCGAUGCAAACUGCGAAUACCGGAGAAUGUUAUCACGGGAGACACACGGCGGGUGCUAACGUCCGUCGUGAAGAGGGAAACAACCCAGACCGCCAGCUAAGGUCCCAAAGUCAUGGUUAAGUGGGAAACGAUGUGGGAAGGCCCAGACAGCCAGGAUGUUGGCUUAGAAGCAGCCAUCAUUUAAAGAAAGCGUAAUAGCUCACUGGUCGAGUCGGCCUGCGCGGAAGAUGUAACGGGGCUAAACCAUGCACCGAAGCUGCGGCAGCGACGCUGAUGCGUUGUUGGGUAGGGGAGCGUUCUGUAAGCCUGCGAAGGUGUGCUGUGAGGCAUGCUGGAGGUAUCAGAAGUGCGAAUGCUGACAUAAGUAACGAUAAAGCGGGUGAAAAGCCCGCUCGCCGGAAGACCAAGGGUUCCUGUCCAACGUUAAUCGGGGCAGGGUGAGUCGACCCCUAAGGCGAGGCCGAAAGGCGUAGUCGAUGGGAAACAGGUUAAUAUUCCUGUACUUGGUGUUACUGCGAAGGGGGGACGGAGAAGGCUAUGUUGGCCGGGCGACGGUUGUCCCGGUUUAAGCGUGUAGGCUGGUUUUCCAGGCAAAUCCGGAAAAUCAAGGCUGAGGCGUGAUGACGAGGCACUACGGUGCUGAAGCAACAAAUGCCCUGCUUCCAGGAAAAGCCUCUAAGCAUCAGGUAACAUCAAAUCGUACCCCAAACCGACACAGGUGGUCAGGUAGAGAAUACCAAGGCGCUUGAGAGAACUCGGGUGAAGGAACUAGGCAAAAUGGUGCCGUAACUUCGGGAGAAGGCACGCUGAUAUGUAGGUGAAGUCCCUCGCGGAUGGAGCUGAAAUCAGUCGAAGAUACCAGCUGGCUGCAACUGUUUAUUAAAAACACAGCACUGUGCAAACACGAAAGUGGACGUAUACGGUGUGACGCCUGCCCGGUGCCGGAAGGUUAAUUGAUGGGGUUAGCCGCAAGGCGAAGCUCUUGAUCGAAGCCCCGGUAAACGGCGGCCGUAACUAUAACGGUCCUAAGGUAGCGAAAUUCCUUGUCGGGUAAGUUCCGACCUGCACGAAUGGCGUAAUGAUGGCCAGGCUGUCUCCACCCGAGACUCAGUGAAAUUGAACUCGCUGUGAAGAUGCAGUGUACCCGCGGCAAGACGGAAAGACCCCGUGAACCUUUACUAUAGCUUGACACUGAACAUUGAGCCUUGAUGUGUAGGAUAGGUGGGAGGCUUAGAAGUGUGGACGCCAGUCUGCAUGGAGCCGACCUUGAAAUACCACCCUUUAAUGUUUGAUGUUCUAACGUUGACCCGUAAUCCGGGUUGCGGACAGUGUCUGGUGGGUAGUUUGACUGGGGCGGUCUCCUCCUAAAGAGUAACGGAGGAGCACGAAGGUUGGCUAAUCCUGGUCGGACAUCAGGAGGUUAGUGCAAUGGCAUAAGCCAGCUUGACUGCGAGCGUGACGGCGCGAGCAGGUGCGAAAGCAGGUCAUAGUGAUCCGGUGGUUCUGAAUGGAAGGGCCAUCGCUCAACGGAUAAAAGGUACUCCGGGGAUAACAGGCUGAUACCGCCCAAGAGUUCAUAUCGACGGCGGUGUUUGGCACCUCGAUGUCGGCUCAUCACAUCCUGGGGCUGAAGUAGGUCCCAAGGGUAUGGCUGUUCGCCAUUUAAAGUGGUACGCGAGCUGGGUUUAGAACGUCGUGAGACAGUUCGGUCCCUAUCUGCCGUGGGCGCUGGAGAACUGAGGGGGGCUGCUCCUAGUACGAGAGGACCGGAGUGGACGCAUCACUGGUGUUCGGGUUGUCAUGCCAAUGGCACUGCCCGGUAGCUAAAUGCGGAAGAGAUAAGUGCUGAAAGCAUCUAAGCACGAAACUUGCCCCGAGAUGAGUUCUCCCUGACUCCUUGAGAGUCCUGAAGGAACGUUGAAGACGACGACGUUGAUAGGCCGGGUGUGUAAGCGCAGCGAUGCGUUGAGCUAACCGGUACUAAUGAACCGUGAGGCUUAACCUUACAACGCCGAAGGUGUUU